UACCUACUCCCUCCGUUCCGAAUUACUUGUCUUGGAUUUGUCUAGAUACGGAUGUAUCUAGACUCAUUUUAGUGCUAGAUACCUCCGUAUCUAGACAAAUCUAAGACAAGUAAUUCAGAACGGAGGGAGUACUAG
rnacentral:pre_miRNA from 1 species